rnacentral:tRNA from 1 species
ACAUGAGUGCCAGAAUAUAUGGGUUGGUUUUAAGCAUCAAAUAUGGGGUCUUCCCCUCGUGUG